CCUUUGUAUACGUUUCAAAGUAUUGAAAUUAACAGCAAGAUAAUCGGGAAGUUGGUGCGUUUUCAAGACGAUAACAACCCCAACACUGCCCCCGCAACGGUAAAGUAUUAGCAGCUAUUAUAGUGUUGACUGAGUCCGGAGACCGGCCUUGAAGUAAUCUUACUU
rnacentral:ncRNA from 2 species